rnacentral:tmRNA from 1 species
GGGGUCGACUGGUUUUGACAGCAAGUUGAAUUGGAAAAUAAGCACGUCGAGAACUGGAGUAAUUCUCGUUAAUAAAAGGCUUCACACUUUUAUACGGCGAAGGAAACUACGCUCUUGCUGCAUAAUCUGAAGUUUAGUAAGAUUAGCCUCGUCCUACCAGGUAGGAAAGCAGGAUUUACCUCAAAAGCCUUGGUUUAUGGCAUUUGGUUUAGGUAAAUCGUAAAAAUAAACCUAGGUGUUGCGAUGCUUCUAAGCGACAUCGAAGUAACAGAAGCUAAGUGUUCGGUGGCGGUUACCGGCCAAGCCAAACAUCGAAAAUCUAAGCGGUAAAUAAGCGUGUAGAAAGUUUUUUGGUUGCUUGUUUGGACCCGAGUUCGAUUCUCGGCGACUCCACAA